rnacentral:sRNA from 1 species
AAUUUGGAUCGAUUUCAAGAGGCUAAAGCAACC